rnacentral:rRNA from 1 species
GACGAACGCUGGCGGCGUGCUUAAUACAUGCAAGUCAACUGAACUUGAAGUAGCAAUAUUUCAAGGGAGGUGGCGCACGGGUGAGUAACACGUAGGUAAUCUGCCUUUAGGUCUGACAUAAUUCCGCGAAAGCGGGACUAACUUCAGAUGAUGCAGCGGCUCGACAUCGAGACAGUUGUUAAAUCUUCGGAGCCUAAAGAUGAGCCUGCGUCUGAUUAGGUAGUUGGCGGAGUAAAAGCCCACCAAGCCUGCGAUCAGUAGCUGGUCUGAGAGGAUGAUCAGCCACACUGGAACUGAGACACGGUCCAGACUCCUACGGGAGGCAGCAGUAAGGAAUAUUGCUCAAUGGCCGAAAGGCUGAAGCAGCAACGCCGCGUGGAGGAUGAAAUACUUUUGUAUGUAAACUCCUGUAAGAAGGGAAAAUAAACAGAUUUUCUGUGUUGAUUGUACCUUCAGAGUAAGCCCCGGCUAACUACGUG